rnacentral:rRNA from 1 species
GGGAGGCAGCAGUGGGGAAUAUUGCACAAUGGCGCAAGCCUCAUGCCAUGCCGCGUCCUAGAGGAAGGUUUAUGCGUUAAUAGCGUAUAGAUUUGACGUUAGCGACAGAAGAAGCACCGGCUAACUCCGUGCCAGCAGCCGCGGUAAUA